UCAAGUGACUAAGUGUAUGUGGUGGAUGCCUUGGCGAUCACAGGCGAAGAAGGACGUAGUAGCUUGCGAUAAGCUGCGGGGAGCCGGCAAACGGGCAUUGAUCCGCAGAUUUCCGAAUGGGGGAACCCACCGACGUAAGUCGGUAUCACACACUGAAUACAUAGGUGUGUGAGGCGAACGGAGCGAACUGAAACAUCUAAGUAGCUCCAGGAAAAGAAAUCAACCGAGAUUGCGAAAGUAGCGGCGAGCGAAAUCGCAGCAGCCCAGUGUUCUGAUAGCACGAACGACAGCAGAAGGGUCUGGAAAGGCCUGCUAUAGAGGGUGAUAGCCCCGUAUGCGAAAUCGAACGUGUGGUACUAAGGGACCGAUAAGUAGGGCGGGACACGUGACAUCCUGUCUGAAGAUGGGGGGACCAUCCUCCAAGGCUAAAUACUCGUGAUCGACCGAUAGUGAACCAGUACUGUGAAGGAAAGGCGAAAAGAACCCCGGGAGGGGAGUGAAAUAGAACCUGAAACCGCAUACAUACAAACAGUAGGAGCCCGUGUAGUCGGGUGACUGCGUACCUUUUGCAUAAUGGGUCAGCGACUUACGUUUUGUGGCGAGCUUAACCGAGUAGGGGAGGCGUAGCGAAAGCGAGUUCGAAUAGAGCGAGAAGUCUCAAGGCGUAGACCCGAAACCAGAUGAGCUAUCCAUGGCCAGGUUGAAGGUGUGGUAACACACACUGGAGGACCGAACCGACUAGUGUUGCAAAAUUAGCGGAUGAGCUGUGGAUAGGGGUGAAAGGCUUAACAAAUCUGGAGAUAGCUGGUUCUCCCCGAAAACUAUUGAGGUAGUGCCUCGUGUAUUGCUCCAGGGGGUAGAGCACUGUUAUGGCUAGGGGGACAUGGCGUCUUACCAAACCAUGGCAAACUCCGAAUACUUGGAAGUAAGAGCACGGGAGACAGAGCACCGGGUGCUAACGUCCGGACUCAAGAGGGAAACAACCCAGACCGCCGUUUAAGGUCCCAAAUAUUGACUAAGUGGAAAACGAAGUGUGAAGGCUAAGACAGUCAGGAAGUUGGCUUAGAAGCAGCCAUCCUUCAAAGAAAGCGUAAUAGCUCACUGAUCGAGUCCUCAUGCGCGGAAGAUGUAACGGGGCUAAGUCAAUAACCGAAAGCGCGGAUUUGCACGAUGAGUGCAAGUGGUAGGGGAGCGUUCUGUAAGCCUGCGAAGGUGGUUCGAGAGGACUGCUGGAGGUAUCAGAAGUGCGAAUGCUGACAUGAGUAACGUUAAAGCGGGUGAAAAGCCCGCUCGCCGUAAGCCCAAGGUUUCCUGCUCUACGUUCAUCGGAGCAGGGUGAGUCGGCCCCUAAGGCCAGGCUGAGAAGCGUAGUCGAUGGGAAGCAGAUUAAUAUUUCUGCACCAUGUGCAAGUGCGAUGGGGGGACGGAGUGCGAAAGAUCAUCCGGGUGUUGGAUGUCCCGGUUUGUGAGUGUAGAAGGCCGACAGGCAAAUCCGUCGGCAGAUCUUCGAGACAAAGCAUCGAGGUUCUACGGAACCGAAGUGAUCGGAAGUGCUUCCAGGAAAAGCCUCUAAGCUCCAGCUUGCAUGUGACCGUACCGUAAACCGACACUGGUGGGCGAGUUGAAUAUACUCAGGCGCUUGAGAGAACUCGGGAGAAGGAACUCGGCAAAUUGACACCGUAACUUCGGGAUAAGGUGUGCCUUUGUAGCGUGAAGAGAGAAACACUCGGAGCGUGAAGAGGCCUCAGAGAAUCGGUGGCUGCAACUGUUUAUUAAAAACACAGCACUCUGCAAAGACGAAAGUCGACGUAUAGGGUGUGAUGCCUGCCCGGUGCUGGAAGAUUAAGUGAUGGGGUGAGAGCUCCUGAUCGAAGUCCCAGUAAACGGCGGCCGUAACUAUAACGGUCCUAAGGUAGCGAAAUUCCUUGUCGGGUAAGUUCCGACCUGCACGA
rnacentral:rRNA from 1 species